rnacentral:rRNA from 1 species
UAACGUAGGGUGCAAGCGUUGUCCGGAAUUAUUUGGGCGUAAAGAGCUCGUAGGCGGUUUGUCGCGUCUGCUGUGAAAACCCGAGGCUCAACCUCGGGCCUGCAGUGGGUACGGGCAGACUAGAGUGCGGUAGGGGAGAUUGGAAUUCCUGGUGUAGCGGUGGAAUGCGCAGAUAUCAGGAGGAACACCAAUGGCGAAGGCAGAUCUCUGGGCCGUAACUGACGCUGAGGAGCGAAAGCAUGGGGAGCGAACAGG